GACUAUAGUUCAGUGGUAGAACAUCUCCUUUGCAUGCAGAAGGUCCUAAGUUCAAUUCCUGGCAUCUACA
rnacentral:tRNA from 1 species